rnacentral:rRNA from 1 species
AUGCCGGAUGAGGAGCUGGAGCAGGCUGGGCCUUGCCAGCGAGGCAGAAAGGCGCUGGCGAGCGGGCGGUCAACGCGGCUGCGUUUAUGGUCGUCUCGCUCGACCACGGGCGAAGCAGAGGACUUGGAAGCGGCGGGGCUGCAUCCUCCGGCGACAGGGAUGGCGCGGAGGCAGCGGAGGCGAGCAGAUCCUUGCGGCGGCGACCAUGGACGGCCGGUGGCCAUGGCUUCGGUUCCCUGUGGAGAGAAGCGAGAGAGAAGAGAGAUCCUGAGAGAGAGCGUUGCCGGUGAUCUAGAAGAAAACAGAGGGGAGGCUGGAGAGGAAGGGCACGGUCCUGCUGGUCCGGUGCUGCUCCGAUCCGGCAGAGGCGAGGCGGAGCAGAUUCGGGAGGAGGCUGUGGAGGUCGCGGCUUGCGGCGGGGGCUGCUGA